rnacentral:rRNA from 1 species
CCUACGGGAGGCAGCAGUAGGGAAUAUUGCACAAUGGGCGAAAGCCUGAUGCAGCAACGCCGCGUGCGGGAAGAAGGCCCUAGGGUUGUAAACCGCUUUCAGCAGGGAAGAAAAUGACGGUACCUGCAGAAGAAGGUGCGGCCAACUACGUGCCAGCAGCCGCGGUGACACGUAGGCACCAAGCGUUGUCCGGAUUUAUUGGGCGUAAAGAGCUCGUAGGCGGUUCAGUUAGUCGGGUGUGAAAACUCUGGGCUCAACCCAGAGACGCCACUCGAUACUGCUGUGACUAGAGUGCGGUAGGGGAGCGGGGAAUUCCUAGUGUAGCGGUGAAAUGCGCAGAUAUUAGGAGGAACACCAGUGGCGAAGGCGCCGCUCUGGGCCGUAACUGACGCUGAGGAGCGAAAGCGUGGGUAGCAAACAGGAUUAGAUACCCUGGUAGUCCACGCCGUAAACGUUGGGCACUAGGUGUGGGUCUCAACCAACGAGAUCCGCGCCGUCGCUAACGCAUUAAGUGCCCCGCCUGGGGAGUACGGCCGCAAGGCUAAAACUCAAAGGAAUGACGG